GACAGAGGGUGCAAGCGUUGUUCGGAAUCAUUGGGCGUAAAGCGCACGUAGGCGGCUUGAUAAGUCGGAUGUGAAAGCCCAGAGCUUAACUCUGGAAGUGCAUCCGAAACUGUUGAACUAGAGUCCUGGAGAGGGUGGUGGAAUUCCCAGUGUAGAGGUGAAAUUCGUAGAUAUUGGGAGGAACACCAGUGGCGAAGGCGGCCACCUGGACAGUGACUGACGCUGAGGUGCGAAAGCGUGGGUAGCAAACAGG
rnacentral:misc_RNA from 1 species